ensembl:lncRNA
UUUUUAUAGUAAAAUUUAGUAUGAUCGCAUAUUUUUUCUUAUAUGUUAAUAAGCACAGGUCAGAAUAAGUGUGCUGUUUCAUUUUUCACAAAUAUAUCCGUCAAGCUGAAUGAGGAUCAGCAUUAUUUCAGCCAUAUUUUUACAGUUUGUUUUCACAGACGUUAUUUGAAACAUUAAAGUGGACACCUGACUUGCACUGAUUCCAGUGUGUAUAAAAUCACUAGAUUAGACGUGACACUCGUUUUGUCUUUGACCCAUAAUAACUCUGAACAAAUGAAGCAGCUAAGAACCGCUAGUUAUGAUGAAGGAGUGUUUCUGAGUUGGCCUGUGUUUGGCACGCUUGCAGCAGCAUCCACGAUCACACGGACUCGCACUGCUUCCUGAAGCUGCUCCAGGGUCAGCUGAAGGAGACGCUGUUCGACUGGCCUGACCGCAAGCUGCAGGGGGGCAUGCAGCAGAAGUCCCAGCGCGUGCUGCUGGAGAACCAGUGCGCCUACAUCAACGGUGAGAGGAGCGGCGUGAGUCCUGAUCAGUCAGAGCCUUGGGUCUGAAGUGUCUCUGACCGGAUUCACUCGCUGUGUGUUUCAGACUCCAUCGGCCUUCAUCGAGUGGAGAACGUGAGCCACACGGAGACCGCCGUCUCUCUGCACCUCUACAGCCCUCCCUUCCAGACGUGCCAGACCUUCGACCAGCGCACCGGUCACCACAACACCGUCAAGAUGACCUUCUGGAGCAAGUUCGGCGAGAGGACGCCGUAUGAAUCCACCGUUUCGCAGGAGAACAACUGAGAAGCACAACAAGAUUUCCACAUUAAAUUGAUGUUUAAAACUUGAUCCAACUCUUUAAGAUUCACAACGGACAGCGGGAAGAGUUAAUUCAAGCUGCUUAAUCGUGGCCUAGUUUAGCGCUGGCAGACGAGGCUGCAUUAGUUGAGCCGCGUGUCAAUCUGCUCUUUGUUGUUGAGAGGAGCCCGUUCUCCCAGCAUUCCUGUGUGUCUGUGACCUGUGUAAUCACGCUUUUGUACUGUUACGGGAUGAGAGCUGUGGCCAUGAGAAUCUGUUUGUCCGCUCGAAUGAAAGCGCUGUCCUCCGUCAACGACAUCCCGCUUCAGCAGAACUCCAUCAGUGUGUUUGAUCAUCGCCAGCCUCUCAUCUCCACACACUCGCGCUUUUAUUACAUUUCCAGAUGAGCGUUUGAAUGGAAGAGUUUAUUUGUAUGAAUCUUACCGUCAGUAAUCGAUGUCUCAUGGAAUAAAUAUGGUCUCUGCAUUUGUAAACUGGAGCUUUUAUUUAAAAUGGACCUGAAUCUUUCCUGGAAAUUCAUUUUUGUGUUAAUGUUGAAGUACAUAAAAUAUUUCCCAAAUGUUGUUGUUUUUGUUUUUAUUUUUGUGUGUGUGUGUGUGUGUGAGUGAGAGAGAGUGAGUGUGUGUGUGUGUGUGUGUGUGUAUGUGUGUGUGUG